UCUCUCUCUCUUUCUCAGUGACCAGCCCAUCGCCCUCGGCAACCUGCCCUCUGACACCCAGUGGCUCUGCAACUAUGAGCUCCGCCCCCUCCUCUGUGACUCCGCCUCCACACAGCACAGCCAGCAACGCCCCUCCCACCCUCAGUGCCCACAGCCUGAACGCUGGUUACAGUGUCACCCAAAUCGAUGCCCAUGUAUCUCUGGUAGGUGUAUUAACUUAUAUUCUUUCUCCUCUACCUUUCUUUUCCCCUUCCAAUCCUUCCACCUGCCUCUCUCACCCCGUCCCGUCCACCUGCCUCUCUCACCCCUUCCACCUGCCACUCUCACCCCGUCCCUUCCACCUGCCUCUCUCACCCCGUCCUUCCACCUGCCUCUCUCACCCGUCCCCUUCCACCUGCCUCUCUCCCCCCGUCCCUUCCACCUGCCUCUCUCACCCCGUCCCUUCCACCUGCCUCUCUCACCCCCUUCCACCUGCCUCUCUCACCCCGUCCCCUUCCACCUGCCUCUCUCCCCCGUCCCUUCCACCUGCCUCUCUCACCCCGUCCCCUGUAACUCUAUCAUGGUUCAGCUCUGGCUGCCAGUGGUGGGCAGCUGCCCAUUUCCAGUCUUGA
rnacentral:lncRNA from 1 species